GUGUGACCCCAGGAUGGGCGGGAUGACCCGCUGAGUUUAAGCAUAUCAAUAAGCGGAGGAGAGGAAACUUACGAGGAUUCCCCUA
rnacentral:rRNA from 1 species